rnacentral:rRNA from 1 species
CCAGGAAUCUUGGGCAAUGGGCGAAAGCCUGACCCAGCAACACCGUGUGGGCGAUGAAGGCUCUAGGGUCGUAAAGCCCUGUUGAUAGGGACGAAGGGCGAAGGGUUAAUAGCCCCUAGCUUGACGGUACCUUUCGAGGAAGCCCCGGCUAACUACGUGCCAGCAGCCGCGGUCAUACGUAGGGGGCGAGCGUUGUCCGGAAUUAUUGGGCGUAAAGAGCGUGUAGGCGGUUCGGUAAGUCUGCUGUGAAAUCUUGGGGCUCAACCCUGAGCGUGCAGCGGAUACUGCCGGGCUAGAGGGUGGUAGAGGCGAGUGGAAUUCCGAGUGUAGCGGUGAAAUGCGCAGAUAUUCGGAGGAACACCAGUAGCGAAGGCGGCUCGCUGGGCCACACCUGACGCUGAGACGCGAAAGCGUGGGGAGCGAACA